AGUCUCCUAUAGUAUCUAAACCUGCCUGUAGCUGGUAGAUUCGUUGCAGGUAAGGAAAAAGGUACAGUGAAAUGGAAAUAGCAUCCUAUUCUCUUGGAGGACUUGAUGCCAGAACUCAGGUAUACCUCAAGGAGAAGAGAGUCCCAUAAGUUGUGCUGCCCUAUUACUCCAACAUCCAUCCAUCCAUCCAUCCAUCCAUCCAUCCAUCCAUCCAUCCAUCCAUCUAUUCAUGAAUCUACCUACUAAUUUACACAGCCAAUAUGUAUUGAGCACCAGCUAUGUUCUGGGCAUGAUGAUAAGUUCUUGGAAUAUAGUUGUACGUAAGGCAUGUAGAUCUUUCUUUCAUGACCUUAAAGACUCUCAAGGAAGACAGAAGUUGAACAAAGAGCUGCAAAUGUAAUGGAUGCCAUAAAGGAGAAGUGCAGAUGGCAGGGAGUCAAUCCAUUUUGUAGAAGAGGGAGAGUUUCUCAGAGGAAGUGGUGUGUAAGUUGAGGUCUGCUGGUGAAUCACAGUUGCCCAGCCUGAUUUGCCCUCAAAGCUUCCCUUUAGUCACCUCAUUCUUCAGGUAAGUUAUAUUUUGAGGAAUUGAGAGUUGGAAUGUUCUAGAUGGUCUGAAGUUGCCCUCUAACGCUCAUCAGCUACUCUGCCUGGGGGAGCAGGGGAGCUGUCAAGAGGCCGCUUGAGCAAGAUGUGAUUUCCAUUCUAAAAUGCUCCGUGUGUAUCUCAUUAGUCAGAGACACUAUGGCUGGUGUAGUGUAAGAGAAAACAAGAGCAAAUAGUCAAAAUAAAACAGGAUUUGAAAUUAUUCCCAGAAUUCAAAUUUCUCUUAAAAGAGCCCCGACACUCCUUUCCCUUCUCUCCCCCUCCCCUGCACCUGGCUGGCUCCUCGCCCAGGUCUCAGCUCACCUAUCACUUCUUCCAGCAGCCUUCACCUUCCUUUGGGGUGGCACUGAGGAUUCCUUAGAGGACCCAAGUAGCAUCCUGGACUUACUACUGGGGCAAUGUGUCUCAACAGCAGCAGCUCACUGAAAUCACCUGGGAGCUUUUAAGAAAUGAUGGUUUCCAUGUCCUACCUCCAGAGAUUCCUAUUCCAAUGGUCUGGAAUAAGCCCUGGGCAUCACAAAUUUAAAAAAGCUUCCAACAUCUGCAUUCACUACUCCACUGCUACACUUCCCACCCCAUAUUGAAAAUUCCUUCUUGCUUGUCCAAAUUCUCCCUUGGACCAUAAAUUCCCUGAGUGUAGGGUUUGUAAGCUGCACUUGCCUUUGAUUCACAUAAGCUGGCAUAUGUGGAUGCCCAGUAAAUAUCUGUUGAAUGAAUGAUGGCUGAUGAAGAGUGACACAUUUCUCUCUCACUUCUCCAAUGCCUACCAGGAGCCUGCCAUCCAGAUUUUUCACAUUGAAAUCUUUGAGAUUUUUCUUGGAGUCUUCCCCUCCUUCGUUUGAUAGUUGAUCGCAUCUCUUGGCACCAUCUGGGCUUUCAGUUUAGCUUGGAUGACCCAAGGACUCCAGUCGAAUUUGCCUCUGGGGAAGCUGCCCUAGAUCACCUUCCAGAAUCCUGUUGUCCUCUAGGUUUCACCUUGUAGAGAAGCUGAUCAACUCAUUCACACAGAGCUGGCAGCGGUUGGCAGAGCCUUGACAGUAGGUUUUUCUCCAACUUGCUUGCUGCCCCAGGAAGAUGACCUGAAUAGAUUAGCUCAAAUGACUCUUACUGGGCUCAGCCAAUGGGAGCUCCAGUCAGCGGCAGGAGGAAUGAAAGUGAGAUCAAGAUUCCUGAUGUGGCCUUGGGGGCUCAGAGAUGGAUGAGACAUCGGCUUUACCCUUGAGGAUCAGAUUCUGAUGGAUAGGAUUGACACAGGAGCAGAUCUUUUUAAUAUAACAUAAUUGCUGCGAAGACAGGGCUGUUUUAGGGGCCACAGGAAGACCACUUGGUACUCACUGUGGGGUUCAGGGCAGUCUUUCUAGAGAACAGGUCAGCUGGGCCUGUACCUCCGAUUUGCAGAAAUUAUUACCAGAAGUGGACUGUUGCCUAUUCCUCUCUCUUGGAUUUGCUCCACAAGGAAGUGUGAUGACAAAGGAAUGAGUUAAAUGUUGGAGCCCUGGGCCACC